CCAUGAAGGUCGCCAUGACGAGGAUUGCGUCAUUAUCUGGCACGCGCAGCACUGGGGUUGGAACGAUGCCAACUGCAAGUCCCACUUCCACUAUGUCUGCGAACUCAGUUCUGUACCCGAGAUCAUUGGAUAAAAUGACAAUAUCUAUAUGUACAUUGUACGGAAAAACAAAUAAAAACAACGGCUUCUA